AUUGAACGCUGGCGGCAUGCUUUACACAUGCAAGUCGAACGGUAACAGGCCGCAAGGUGCUGACGAGUGGCGCACGGGUGAGUAAUGCAUCGGAACGUGCCCAGUCGUGGGGGAUAACUACUCGAAAGAGUAGCUAAUACCGCAUACGAUCUAUGGAUGAAAGCGGGGGACCGUAAGGCCUCGCGCGAUUGGAGCGGCCGAUGUCAGAUUAGGUAGUUGGUGGGGUAAAGGCUCACCAAGCCAACGAUCUGUAGCUGGUCUGAGAGGACGACCAGCCACACUGGAACUGAGACACGGCCCAGACUCCUACGGGAGGCAGCAGUGGGGAAUUUUGGACAAUGGGCGCAAGCCUGAUCCAGCAAUGCCGCGUGCAGGAAGAAGGCCUUCGGGUUGUAAACUGCUUUUGUACGGAACGAAACGGCUCUGGUUAAUACCCGGGGCUAAUGACGGUACCGUAAGAAUAAGCACCGGCUAACUACGUG
rnacentral:rRNA from 1 species